rnacentral:rRNA from 1 species
UCGAGGAUCUUCGGCAAUGGGCGCAAGCCUGACCGAGCGACGCCGCGUGUGCGAUGAAGGCCUUCGGGUUGUAAAGCACUGUCGGGGGGGAGAAAAGGGCAACCUUGAUCGACCCCCGGAGGAAGCACGGGCUAAGUUCGUGCCAGCAGCCGCGGUAAGACGAACCGUGCGAACGUUGUUCGGAAUCACUGGGCUUAAAGGGCGCGUAGGCGGGCGGUCAAGUCAGAGGUGAAAUCCCACGGCUCAACCGUGGAAGUGCCCCUGAUACUGGCCGUCUCGAGGGAGGUAGGGGCGUGCGGAACUUCCGGUGGAGCGGUGAAAUGCGUAGAUAUCGGAAGGAACACCGGUGGCGAAAGCGGCGCGCUGGACCUCUUCUGACGCUGAGGCGCGAAAGCCAGGGGAGCAAACGGGAUUAGAUACCCCCGUAGUCC